AAAAGAAGCGAAGGGUACUUAAACCAUCGCGAACUUAUCCAAGUUGCUUCGGCGGCGCGGCUCCCCUCACGGGGGACCGCAGCCCCCGCCUCUCAGGAGGUAAGGGGCAGCCGCCGGAGGUACGAAACUCUGUAUUAUAGUGGUAUCUCUGAGUAUAAAACAAAUAAGUUAAAACUUUCAACAACGGAUCUCUUGGUUCUGGCAUCGAUGAAGAACGCAGCGAAAUGCGAUAAGUAAUGUGAAUUGCAGAAUUCAGUGAAUCAUCGAAUCUUUGAACGCACAUUGCGCCCGCUAGUACUCUAGCGGGCAUGCCUGUUCGAGCGUCAUUUCAACCCUCAAGCUCUGCUUGGUGUUGGGGCUCUACGUCUGACGUAGGCCCUGAAAGGAAGUGGCGGGCUCGCUACAACUCCGAGCGUAGUAAUUCAUUAUCUCGCUAGGGAAGUGUGGCGUUCUCCAGCCGUUAAAGACCCCAUCUUUAACCAAGGUUGACCUCGGAUCAGGUAGGAAUACCCGCUGAACUUAAGCAUAUCAAUAA
rnacentral:rRNA from 1 species